GAAAAGACAAACCGCGGGUUUGCGUGUCAAUGUUUGACUGUCCGUCUUAUAUUAAUUUUUUUAUAAUUAGUAUUUUCAUUGUUGUUAGAUGAUAAAACAUGAUGAAUACUUUAUGCGUGACUUAUCUUUUUAUUUUUUUCAUAAUUUUUUCAAAUAAGACGGACGGUCAAACAUUGGACACGAAAACCAGGGUUUGUCUUUUU
rfam:Oryza glaberrima chromosome 1 Oglab01_0019_6, whole genome shotgun sequence.